AAUUUAAGUCUUUUACGGUGUAUUAAAGAGCCCAUGAAUAAAUUUCACACUUAAGGCGCCUUUUUUGCGCCUUAAAUAAGUUCCACCAAAAUAGCCGGCCAAACAAGGAAAAAGCCCACCAAAAUACUUUCCCACCGAAAAAAUUUCACUCCCCCGCCAAAGUGCCAAAGUAAAUAGGCGGACAAAAAAAGAAAAAAAGAAAAAACCCAUUUCAGAGUUUUUCUUCCCCAAAGAAGCUUCAACGAGAGUGUGGAAAGAGAGAGACCCGAAUCUCUCAUCUAUCGAUUUCUUUGGACGAACCGUGUUGGUGGCAGUAACUUGAGGAAAGAAAGCUUGAUUUCCUAAACUCAUCUUUCUCAGAUUGGACUCCGGACGGUGUCGAUCAUUCCGUCAGCGACCAGCGAAGAGGUUAGGGUUUUCAACCAGUGACGAAAAAUUGAAGUUGAAUCGAGCCACCAUGGACGAUGGUACGUACCUUGUUAUAGUUGCCUCUCAUCCUUUCCAUUAUCAGUCUAAUCUUUUUCACAAAAUUUUCUCUAUAUCUAUAUAUUUUUAUGCACAUAUGUUUGUAUAUAUGUGUGUGUGUCUGUGAACUGAUUCUUGAUUUGAUCUAUUUGAGCGAGAUAUUUGUUUAUACCACCUAGAGAAGAAAAUGUUUAUUCCCACCAAAACCCCCCCUUACUCACAUGGGAAACCUUGAAAAAAAAAAAACAAAAACCAAUUCCCCCUAAUUUUUCUUCAGUCCUUUCGCAAAGAGAAGCCCUAGAACAUGAUACGCCGAUCGCCACAGUCCUUGAUUCCACUGACCACAACCUUCGUUCGCCUUGAUUUGCAUACUUGUCGUAUUUCUACCCUCAUUCAAGACUUUCAAGCGCUGCCUCAUUCUAGUUCUCUCUCGAGUACUCUUCUUUUCUUUUAUCUCUCUCAAAAUACUGCAGUUUUAGUUUGGCCGGAGAAUCGAAGAGAUCUGGGGCAUAUUUCAGAAUGCUAUCUUUCUCUUGGUGGGAUUUCGCGAUCGCCUUUCUAGCACCCCUAUCCAUACUACAACAACGUUCACAGCCGCCACCAGGAUGUGAUUGAUAGAGAUUUGUGUGAGCAGUUCCUAACAUUGCCGCUGGAUUUGCAAUGAAAAAUUGUAGAUGAAUUGGACAUAACUCCAACAGAGAUUUUGAAGAAACUUGAAGAAGUUCGAAAAAAGACCAUUUGAGAAUUAUUAGUCCUAAGGUAAAUUCAUGCCUGUGAUAAAGAAGGCAAUGGUAGAGCUUGAAGGAUUGAUUAUCACCAAUUCAUUAGGAGUAGAAGAAUCAGAAUUUCUAUGGUUCCAGUUUACAACAAAGUUACUUUCUUGGAUUUUGUACCGUGGAUUUUGCAGCUACUUCCUUGGAUUUUGUAUAGUGAGGUGGUUUUUUGACAAGUGUAGACUGAAACUCAAGUGCUAGAAGGUUUGUCAAUAUUUCAACAGAAGUGUUAAGAAAUUGAUGAUUUUCUUGACAAAUGGAUGUACUUUCUGUUUUGGAACAUUGAUAAAUGAUGAAUUGUAAAAAUGUUUUAACUCUUUUGAUAUAUUUAAUGGGAUAAGUAUAUUUUUUGAAUUGAA